ensembl:misc_RNA Metazoa_SRP Metazoan signal recognition particle RNA
GCCAGGUGUGGUGGCGCGCGCCUGUAAUCCCAGCUACUCGGGAAGCUGAGGCAGGAGAAUCGCUUGAACCCAGGAGGUGGAGGUUGCAGUGAGCCGAGAUCGUGCCAUUGUACCACAGCCUGGGUGACAGAGCGGGACUCUGUCUCUA